rnacentral:rRNA from 1 species
CGGGUGAGUAACGCGUGGUCAACCUUCCCUACAGUGGGGGAUAACUAGCCGAAAGGUUAGCUAAUACCGCAUGACAUCUUCGAGAGACAUCUUUUGAAGAUAAAAGGAGCAAUCCGCUGAAGGACGGGACCGCGUCCCAUUAGCUAGUUGGUGGGGUAAUGGCCUACCAAGGCAACGAUGGGUAGCUGGUUUGAGAGAGCGACCAGCCACACUGGGACUGAGACACGGCCCAG